rnacentral:rRNA from 1 species
UACGAAGGGUGCAAGCGUUACUCGGAAUUACUGGGCGUAAAGCGUGCGUAGGUGGUUUGUUAAGUCUGAUGUGAAAGCCCUGGGCUCAACCUGGGAAUUGCAUUGGAUACUGGCAGGCUAGAGUGCGGUAGAGGAUGGCGGAAUUCCCGGUGUAGCAGUGAAAUGCGUAGAGAUCGGGAGGAACACCUGUGGCGAAGGCGGCCAGCUGGACCAGCACUGACGCUGAGGCACGAAGGCGUGGGGAGCAAACAGG